UAUUUUUUAAUAAAAAAAUAAUAUGUUGUUAUGCGAGACAAGUUACAAGGAUUCAGGUAGGAAGAAGGUCUCCCCAUACCUGUCCUGCACAAUAUCCGGGUUAGAGAAAAUUGAUCGGAUUCGAGACGGGUCAGGUCGGGUUCAGGAACUUGUGUCAUUCCUAAUCAAAGGCCAACAACAAUACAGUGUUUGUGAUAAGCAUGUAUCCUGAGGCCAAACCAACCUUAAAAUGAGAUUGGUUCAAGUUGUACAUUCACUGCACAUGCAUAAAUAAUAACAGAAGAAUCAUUAGACCAGGCUCUAAUUUAUUCAAGGUCCUAAAGGACUUGAAGCAAGGCAACAAAAUUGAGUCCCAGUCAGAAUUUCAAAUCUACGUCCAGCCUCAUGCCAAAACUGUUAUGCCUUGUUUGCAUUAGGUUAGGUGACAGAAGGUUCAUAACAACCAAAAUUGUACAAUUGGAACCAGCGUAUGGACACAGAGCAGCACCUUCUGAAUAUGAAGAUUUCAUCCUCUUUCAAAAGGUCUAUUAUUUACAUGAAUCAACAAAGGAUUUGUGAAUACAUAUGAAAAGGGUCUUGGAGGGGAAAAAAAAAAAAACCCUCA
rnacentral:misc_RNA from 1 species